AUUUUUUUUUAAUUGAAAAAAUGAAUUUUACUUUUUAGUAAGAAGGCUAAAAUAUUUCUUUUAGACAAGAAGACCCUAUAAAACUUUAUAUUUUUAUUUUUCUUAACAGGAAGAAGAAAUAUUCUACUGGGGCGGUAAAGGAACGGAGCUUUCUUUAAAGAAGAAAACAAACAUGUUUUUAUAUCUAGAAUUUCUAAAUUAGGAACAAGUUACUUUAGGGAUAACAGCUUAAUUCAUUUUGAAAGUUCAAAUUGACAAGUGAGUUUAUGACCUCGAUGUUGAAUUAAAAUAUCUUCCUAGCGCAAAAGCUUUGAAAGAAGGUCUGUUCGACCUUUAAAUUUUUCCA
rnacentral:rRNA from 1 species